GUGUACUCGUGUUGACAAAGGAAAGUUCUACAGGCUCAAAUAGCAUUUGUUAAAAUAUGAAGUUAUGUCGUUAUUUCUUCAACAGAAGUCUAAAGAUGACUUGAUAUUUCAUGACUUGAUAACAGUUUGUUUGUAGCGAGAGUAUAUUAACACAAAACGACAAGGUAAGAUUCGGGAAUGAAAAACACUGUAGUUUAAUAAUAUAGUGAAAAUCAUCAUGAAGCAUGCAUGUAGCAACCAAUUUAGGGAAUUAGGGUCUGUUUGUAUGGAAGCCAGGCUGGCCCGCUUAGCGUGACAGCCUGGUAAUCGGGGCCUCGCUGUGUAAUUAUUUUUAUAGUAAAAAGUACUUUGCGUUUUAUAUAUGGAGAACCGGGGUGACCUAGUGGUUGUCUGGUCUGGUUCCCAAGAUCUUGCUUGAAAGAGGCGAAAUCUCCCUUUUAUACUGGGAUGACAAUUUCUGUAUAUAAACACUGACUGUUGUCAGGAUGAAAGUUCAAAGAUCCCGACACAAGCUAUUUUUAUGCCCUGUAAUGCAGGAUGAAAUUUUCUCAUAUAAACACAAGACACAUUCAUCCAGCUUGCCGGACUGUUUCACUAAGUGGGCCAUCUCGGCUUCCAUAUAAACAGCCCUAAGCAGGGUUCCAAAUACAUUUUGGAGCAGGAACAGUGGUGCCGCUAGGAUAUUUUUGAGGAAGCUGGCAACUUGUCAGUCAAAAUUCUUGGGUGCUGCGGCAUAUACUCCACUGGGAAAAAUGAAUUUGGGAUCUCUGAAAGCCAAUUUCCUGCAUUGUGGAAGCACCUUGAGAGAAAUGUAAAGGUAGUGAUAAAUCACCUUUUAAUUAACAGUGCCAAUAGAACAAAGUUCAGUAGAUUCUUUGUGUAGAUGUGGGCAAGAUACACAACACUGCCUGCUUACAAGGAUGGUAAGAAGCGGCAGGUGUUUGGCAUGGGUCAGGAUUUAAGUAAAAUCAUUUUACCUGAAUUAACUUUUUAGCAUUAAAAUAAAUGUUGUAAAUUAUGAUGGACUUUUAAUUUGCACAGGGGGCAGAAUGACGGUUAGGUGGGGAGGAGGGAGGCCAGACAAACUCGAUCAAUUUCAUGGACAUGUUUCAAUUCGAUCAAUUCCAUGGAUCUAGAGUCUCUUACAUGGUAUUUCCUACAUUUUGGGGAAGAUUUGACUUGCAAUUUAAUCCUCCAUGGUUGAAAAACCUAACUGCCCACAACAACCAUUUCAAACCAUGUACAUGAGGCGUAAAAAAAUACCUGUGGUUCCGGUUCCCGACUGACCCUAUUUUUUUCUGCCGACCCUAUUAUUUUUUCAACGCGAUUUUUCUGAUCGAGUAGCCACUGAGUAGGAGACCUUUUGAAAGAAAGAGGUAGUUGGAUAUGUGAUGCCGAAGGUACCAUUCACCUAGGAAAGAAACUUAAACCCCCUGAAAUGGCAACAACAAGUUGUCAAAGCAUACAGUAUCUCUCCCAAGAUGUUUUGGUCAUUCAAAUUUUGGUCGUUCCGAAAGAAGCUCACCUAUAUAUAAGCUCAUAGGCUUACAGUAUAAUUGAACAAGAAAGGUUAUAUUUUUAUUGUUUUAUUACUUUUACUGAGGAAUGUUAUUGUUUUCAUUCACUGUAUAGUUUGCCCAUAUAUAAGCCCCUCCUUGUACAUAUAAAUCCAUAAAAACUUAUGCUUAUGAACUAAUAUCAACACUGGGCUUAUAGUUGGAGGUUUACAGUAGUUUAAUUUAAAUCAAUGCAAAUGACACAACAGUGCUUCAACAAGCAUCUCAUGAUAAAUAGUCCACUUCCUUGACUGGUGUGGCAGAACACACCUAUUUUGUUGGAAGUCUUAGGUGUAAAAAAAAAGUUUCGGUUUCAUAUCGCGAAAAAAUUAGGGUCGGUAGGUCGGAAAUAAUUUUUUUGAACAUUUUUUCCAUGGUUUUUUCAAUAAUUAGUGUGACAACAGACGCCAUUUUGGCAGCAGCCCUCAACCACCCAGAGAAAAUAGGGUCGCACGGUCAAUCGCGUUGAAAUAAUAAUAGGGUCGGCAGAAAAAAAUACAGGUUAUUGGUUUAUUUGUUGUUUUUUUCAAAGAUUUUUUAUAUAAAUUAUAUGUAUACAAUGUCCUUUAGAAGUGCACUGUAGUACAGUAGUGCAAAACUGUUAAUUUUGUAAAAUUAACUUGUAAGUGAAAUAGUAGGGACAUAGUAGGGACUAGAAACAAAAAAGUAGGGUACACACAGGUAGAGGAUUUGACAAUAUGAUAAACUUGAGGGAGGAUCAAACUAGCCUCAUCCGCAGGCUAAAACCCCUAGAGAUCUAUGGGAUUUUAGCCUGCAAAUGGGUGUCCGACCACCUGAUUACCAUGGUGACAUGCCUGCUGAGGAGGCUAAGAUCAAACUACAUGAAAAAUGAAACAAAUACUUUGAUGUUUUGAGUGAAAACCCUUUGUGUGGAGGUUAGUAGUCGGUUGGGAAAUCACAUAUGCUAUAAAAGUAUAAGACAAAAACAAAUGAUAAAACUAAACCAAUCUGAUCAAUUUAGUAAAAGAAAUCAAAACAGAUGGAUUUAGUUGAAACAUAGAAAUUCUUCUGUAAUUCCUUAAGGAUAUUCAUUACUACCCACACAGGAAUAACACAAUCACAAUUUGGACAAUAUGAUACAAUGCUUUCAUCUUAUGGUGAAAACAAGGAUAAUUUGAACAUUUUAGACAAGCUACAGUAACUGUGUACUGAUCAGAUUGGUACAAAGUACCACAUACUGACUGUACUUUGCAUACUAAUACUGAAAUUAUGAAUGAUGAUUUGAUGAAAUUAUUAGUUUGAAAUUAUUCUGUUCUAGAGAAAGCAUGAAUGGUGAUUCUGAUGAUGAAAUAAGUCAACUACGAGCUGCAGCACUUUCAACCCGAUCAUCAAAUGUAAGAUUUUAAUGAUGCCGAUCAGCCGAUGCACCAA
rnacentral:lncRNA from 1 species